rnacentral:ncRNA from 1 species
AUUUAUAAAGCGCCAGUACUAUUCUCUUUCUAAGAAUAGUUGACGAGGUUCAGGGCUAUCGAAGUUUUCGGCGGAUACCCUGACGGAGUGCUUCCUUCGUAAUGAUUCUGACAAAAACUCAGGUGACUGGGAAACAAAACGGG